CAGGAAACAAAUACAGAAUGAAAUAGAGCAAUUAAGCCCAAGGUCAUGGGACAAGACAGCCAGACACUGAAGGGACCGCUAAGAUUUAUCAAUGUUCCUUCUCCCCUGUCACAGGGUAUGUUGGCAGCUUCAAAAUAUGAGCCAUAAAUGGCUCUAGUUGAGAACAUAGUGGAAGCCAUCAUAUAACCUGCAAAACAUUUGGUGUCUCUUCACAGGCCAUCUUGAGCAUCUGUGUGUUGGUACCCAGGGUGGCCGGGAAAGGCGAGUGAAAGUGGAUGGAUUCCCUUCUCUCUUCCACUCUGUCUCUUCUUUCACCUUUCAUCCUUGCCCCACGUCCUAUCCACAGUCCUUUGCAGAUGACAGAAGCCACAGAACUGAGGAAGGAGGGACAGCCUGGGAGUGCCACUGUGAUAUCUGCCACCUGAUUCAUCCUUAAACGUCAAGAAGCUGCUUUCCUAGUGCCUUGGUGAGGAUAUGGCAGCUACUCCAUCUCAGUCCUACUCAUGAGAGAACUCCAGAGUCAAAAUAUCAACCAAUCCUGAUUCCUAAAACAGUGAGCUGCCGUAUUGAGAGCUCCAUAUGGCAAGGAACAAGGACACCCUCUACCUAACAGCCAGCAAGGAACUAAGACCUGCCAAGAGCUUAAUCCUGGUAGACUAUAUUUGUUAUACGAAACAAUCCAUCCCAGAUAUCUUAAGGAGAGAGGAACAGAAUUUUCUAACAGCAAAGUAAGUAUGUAUAGAAUAAUGGGAAGGGCUGGAAGAAUGGUAUAGGUUCCAGAGAUAGGAAUGACUCCAAGAAUACACAAGAAUUGACCUGCUAGGGGAAGGUAACUUCUGCCCGAAUCUGCACCUUUGGGAAGGUGUAAGAUCUAAAGGCUGCCAAUGGAAGUACAAGUUAAAACACAUGGAAUCAUGUGUCAUCCUGAGAUCUAAAUAUCAGGGAACUGGGAUCAGGAUACCACUGCCACUGCAGCCUCCUCUCAGCAGCCAUCAGGAGUUGAG
rnacentral:lncRNA from 13 species